AUCUUUAUUUCAACUGCUGAGGUAAAAGAAGAUACGUCUGAAGACGUGUCAGCAGACAAAGUGGCCACUUUAGUGAUUUACAAAAAGUCACCAUUAGAAUCUUCGGCUACUGAUGAAUCAGCUUAUCAAACAGAAGUCAACGAGUCAUUAUAUUGAAUCCUACCGAGGUAGUGAUAAAUGGUGAAUCUGGAUCUCCGUCAAAGUAAAAAACCACGGUAGACAAAAAAAGUCAAAAGAAAACGGAAGUACUGGUGCUACUUGUAGCAGUUCACAUAACUCUAGGCUCAAAGCCCAUGACUACGGUCCUCGCAAGAAUGGGAAGGCUGGAAUAAUUGCUUAAUAAAUUUAGUGAUACACAUGGGGAAAAGCAUGGGAUGAACCAGGCCAUUCUAAUGGUGGAGAUAUACUUCAUUUAAUGAUCGAUGUUUUAAAGGAGAAUGUAAUCGGUAUUGAUGGUCUGUGUGUUUUAAUUAGCAAGGAAUGAGUUGGAAGAUGGGAGUAGGGCUGAGCGUCUUCAAGCAAAUAUGUAAUUAAACCUUCAGAGGUUGAUGAUAAAAUGGAAAGAGACACAAAACUACUUAAGCAGAAAGAAGAUAGCCUCGAGAUGUCAUUGGUAAUGCCGGUAUGAUGCUAUGUUGAUAAGUGUUGAUAAGUGGCCUCGAGAGUUCCUGGUUCAGUAGUAGUUUGAUGUGUUCUAUAUUUCUAUUAGUGUUUGAUUAUAUACGCCAGGUUACGGUUUAAACAAGUAGUUUGAUGUGUUUGGCAUAACAGGCUGGGUCAGGAUGGGCUGACUGGAGGAGACUUUUUUUUGUCCUUUUUAUAUUAUAAAAAAAUGUAUACAUUAAACAUCAUUAACAUUUGUUCUUUAAAUAAGAAUUUGAGUACACUUCCUUUGA